rnacentral:lncRNA from 1 species
CAAACUUCGGGUGUUGUGUGAGUCAUGGAUGAUGACUACAAGUUUUCGAGUCUGAGGUUCACAUCAUAAACAAAAAGAGAAGACUGAUGGUCUGCUUUCUCCUUCCUCCUGACCCAUACGUCUGCCUUAACCCCACAGGUCCUUACUUUGCUUAUCAACGCAGCAUACAAGCCCAGCCGUGUCCUCCGAGAGCUCCAGCUGGACAAAGACUCUGUGUGGCAUGGGUGUGGAGAAGUCCUGAAGGCCAAAUAUAAAGGGAAGAGCUACCGAGCUACUGUUGAGAUAGUGAGAACAGCGGACCGAGUGACGGAAUUCUGCCGGCAAACAUGUAUCAAACUGGAAUGCUGUCCCAACCUCUUUGGUCCACGCAUGGUUCUGGACACAUGCUCUGAGAACUGCUCUGUCCUGACGAAGACCAAAUACACACACUAUUAUGGAAAGAAGAAAAAUAAAAGAAUUGGGAGACCACCCGGUGGGCAUAGUAAUUUAUCUUGUGCCCUGAAAAAAACCAGUAAGAGGAGAAAAAGGCGGAAAAAUAUUUUUGUUCAUAAGAAGAAACGCUCUUCUGCAUCUGUUGACAAUACCCCAGUGGGCUCACCCCAGGGAAGCGGGGGUGAGGAUGAGGAUGAUGCCGAUGACGGAGAUGAUGAUUCGCUCACUGAGGGCAGUACAUCUGAGCAACAGGACGAGUUACAUGAAGAGUC